rnacentral:lncRNA from 1 species
AGAUGUUAUUUAUUUUGUACGUGCAAUUUUGUCCAAGAGCAAGGAGAAAGAAAUUUGCAUCCACAUAACUCGUAGACCCAUAAAGUGGGAUGAUGUUCUCAUUACCCAUAUUCAUUCGAAAAUCUAAAUUUCAGGAUCUUUUCUUACAAUUCAAGAGCCUAAAUGUUUCGUAUUCUUUUCAUUUUGGGCAAAGAUGAUCUCUAAUGGAUCACCUACGAGAUGCAUGGUUGGAUUUUCGAAACAUAACCCGUAGACCCAUAAAGUGGGAUGAUGUUCUCAUUACCUAUAUUCAUUCGAAAAUCUCUAUUCCGGGCCCUUUUCUUUCAAUUCAAGAGCCUAAAAGUUUUGUAUUCUUUUUAUUUUUGGCAGAGAAGAUCUUUAGGAUGACCUAUGAGAUGUAUAGUUAGAUUUUUCGAAACAUAACUCGUGCACCCAUAAAGUGGGAUGAUGUUCUCAUUACCCGUAUUAAUUCGAAAAUCUGUAUUUCGGGUUAUUUUCUUUCAAUUCAAGAGCUUAAAAAGUUUCGUAUUCGUUUUAUUUUUGGCAGAGAUGAUAUUUAAAGGAUGACCUAUGAGAUGUACAGUUCGAUUUUUGAAACAUAACUCGUAGACCCAUAAAGUGGGAUGAUGUUCUCAUUAUUCGUAUUAAUUUAAAAAUUUGUAUUUCAUGAUCAUUUCAUUUUAUUCAAGAGUCUAAAAGUUUCGUAUUGUUUUUAUUUUAGGCAAAGACGAUCUUUAAGGGAUGACCUAUGAGAUGUACAGUUAGAUUUUCGAAUCAUAAAUCGUAGACCCAUAAAGUGGGAUGAUGUUCACAUUACCCGUAUUAAUUCGAAAAUAUGUAUUUUGGGCCCUUUUCUUUCAAUUCAAGAGCCUAAAAUGUUUCACAUUCAUUUUAUUUUUGGCGAAGAUGAUAUUUAAGGGAUGACCUAUGAGAUGUAUAGUUGGAUUUUCGAAACAUGACUCGUAGACCCAUAAACUGGGAUGAUGUUCUCAUUAUUCAUAUUAAUUCGAAAAUAUGUAUUUCACGAUCUUUUCUUUCUAUUCAAGAGACUAAAAGUUUCGUAUUCUUUUUAUUUUAAGGCAGAGAAGAACUUUAAGGGAUGACCUAUGAUAUGUACAGUUGGAUUUUCGAAACCUAACUCAUACAGCCAUAAUGUGGGAUAAUGUUCUCAUUAAUCGUACUAAUUCGAAAAUCUGUAUUUCGGGCUCUUUUCUUUCCAUUCAAGGGUCUAAAGGUUUCGUAUUCUUUUUAUUUUUUGGUAGAGAUGAUCUUUAAGCAAUGACCUAUGAGAUGUAUAGUCGAUUUUUGAAACAUAACUCGUAGACCCAAAAAGUGGGAUGAUGUACUCAUUACCCGUAUUAAUUCGAAAAUCUGUAUUUCGAGCUAUUUUCUUUCCAUUCAAGGUCUAAAAGUUUCGUAUUCUUUUUAUUUU